AUGUUAAACAGCACUCUUCUCCGAAGGAUCUAGAAUCCAUUUCCACUUCCUGUAUUUAAACGAUUUGUACAAAAGGACAAAUUUUACCAGCGGUCACCGGGUCUCCCAACCGUCAUUGCGCCCCACAGCCCCCGAAGCGGGGGGGAGGCAGGCAGGCCGUGGCUUAGACGAGGAGGCUGCCCUUCGCCUUAUUUCUCCAUCAGAGAGGAUGCCUACACCGGAACCCACUUCCUCUUUCCUCUCAUUUUAAGCCGCUUUAAGCUCCGUUUUAACCCACCCUCUCAGAAGGAAAUCUUUAACAGAAAGCCUAGAGGCCCGGGGAACCCGGCAUCCCGCCCCAGACUCGCCAGCUCACGCGGCCCUCGGCCCCGCCCGCGCCAGCGCGCCGCCCGCGCGCCCCGCCCUGCCCACGCUCUCUCGCUGCUCCUCGCUGGCUGGGCCGGGCGGAUGCCUGGCGCACCGGGCCCGCCGGGGAGGGCCACGCCGGGCCAAGCCGGAGCGGGGGUAGCGGAGGGCGGGCCGGGGCCGCGGCCGGGCUCCAUCUGGGUGCGGGGCCGGGGCCGAACGCUCGGCCCGCCAUGGAGGUGGAGGAGGCGUUCCAGGCGGUGGGCGAGAUGGGCAUCUACCAGAUGUACCUGUGCUUCCUGCUGGCCGUGCUGCUGCAGCUCUACGUGGCCACGGAAGCCAUCCUCAUUGCGCUGGUCGGGGCCACACCGUCGUACCACUGGGACCUGGCCGAGCUCCUGCCCAACCAGAGCCACAGCAACCAGUCGGCUGGCGAAGACCAGGCCCUCAGGGCCUGGCUCCUGACGGCCAACGGCAGCGAGAUGCACAAGCAUGUGCACUUCAGUAGCAGCUUUACCUCCAUCGCCUCCGAGUGGUUUUUAAUUGCCAACAGAUCUUACAAAGUGAGUGCAGCAAGCUCUUUUUUCUUCAGUGGUGUGUUUGUGGGAGUUAUCACUUUUGGUCAACUCUCUGAUCGCUUUGGAAGGAAAAAAGUCUAUCUCACAGGUUUUGCUCUUGACAUCUUGUUUGCUAUCGCAAAUGGCUUUUCCCCCUCAUAUGAGUUCUUUGCAGUAACUCGCUUCCUGGUGGGCAUGAUGAAUGGAGGGAUGUCGCUCGUGGCCUUUGUCCUGCUGAAUGAAUGUGUGGGCACCGCCUACUGGGCACUCGCAGGGUCAAUUGGUGGCCUCUUCUUCGCAGUCGGCAUUGCCCAAUAUGCCCUGUUGGGAUACUUCAUCCGUUCCUGGAGGACCCUAGCCAUACUGGUUAACCUGCAGGGAACCGUGGUCUUUCUCUUGUCUUUAUCCAUUCCUGAAUCCCCUCGUUGGUUAUACUCCCAGGGUCGGCUGCGUGAGGCUGAAGCCGCUCUGCGCCUCAUCGCCAAGAGGAACCGGCAGCUCAGGUGCAGCUUCUCGCUGGCGCGCCCGGCAGGCGGGAGCUGCGAGGAGGCCGGCAGCGUCCUGGACCUCUUCCGUCGCCGGGUGCUCCUGGGGCACACGCUGACCCUGAUGUUCAUCUGGUUCGUGUGCAGCUUGGUGUAUUAUGGCCUCACUCUGAGUGCAGGUGAUCUAGGUGGAAACAUUUAUGCCAACUUAGCCCUGUCUGGCCUCAUAGAGAUUCCAUCUUACCCUGUCUGCAUCUACUUGAUUAACCAAAGAUGGUUUGGUCGGAAGCGGACGUUGGCAGCAUUUCUGUGCCUCGGAGGACUGGCUUGUCUUAUUGUCAUGUUUCUUCCAGAAAAGAAAGACACAGGUGUGUUUGCAGUGGUGAACAGCCAUUCCUUGUCCCUGCUGGGAAAGCUGGCCAUCAGCGCUGCCUUCAACAUUGUGUACAUCUACACCUCGGAGCUAUACCCCACAGUCAUCAGGAAUGUUGGGCUUGGAACUUGCUCCAUGUUCUCCCGAGUUGGUGGGAUCAUUGCUCCCUUCAUCCCCUCACUGGUUGAAGUAUGUGCAGUGGUCUUUACCCUUCAUUGUCUUCGGAGCCACAGGGCUGACCUCAGGCCUCCUGAGUUUAUUAUUGCCAGAAACCCUUAACAGCCCAUUGCUGGAGACAUUUUCUGACCUUCAAGUAUACUCAUAUCGGAGGCUAGGGGAGGAAGCAUUAUCCUUACAGACCUUGGAUCCCCCUCAGUCUGUGGACAAGGAGAGCCCUUUAGGGAGCGAGAGUGACGAAGAGGAAGAGUUUUACGAUGCGGAUGAGGAGACUCAGAUGAUCAAGUGAGGAGACUCAGAUGAUCAAGUGAGGAGCCCCAGGUUCCUCCUCAGAAGCAGAGGGUCAUCUUCCAUGCCUCUGUCAAGCGCAGGUGCUCCUGGGAAAUUGCAGAGAGCUAUGGAAAGAAAGGCUUGAACAAACAGAAGGUACUCAGAGUGGCCUGAUGUUUUAUAGGCACCCAAGGAAGUUGGAGAAGAGAUUUCCAUGAACAGGACAUCACUGCUUUGAGUGAAAAGCUAUUAACUUGCCUACAGUUGAGAUAUAGUGCAGAAUCAUGACCUUUGGCCAGAUUGCUCAAUUCUGCAUGCCAGAGUGGUAAGCUCAGUUGUUUCUAGAAGUUUGAUUAUGUUGCCGUUCAACUUCAUUGUGACCUAAAGGCAAAUAUGUAAAAUUUCUUCUCACCAUUAAGAUGGAAUCUGUGUACCAGAUUUGACAUCUGCCUGUCUCGAUUGCUCCUCACCAAGAAUCUUUGGAGGCAAGUUGAUGUUAGCAUUCCAUUCAUUUUUGUGCCAGAAGAAAAGCAUUGAGAGAUCGUUUGUGUGACCUGAGGCCCUCCAGCUUUACCCCAAGAGAUGAAAUCUGGGCCCACAGCUUGGCCCCUGGUUCAGUGACUGGUUCCAGCUCCUCCUGUUAGUCCGACAGAUGACCCACUAGAAAAAUCCAGCUGCACCAAAGUAAUGUUCAGAGUCCAAGGUGUGGCUGCACCCCCGCCCCCCACCCCCAGCAGCUCCCUCUGAUACUCAAAUUUCCAUCUCAGAUUCUAGACCAGCAAAACUUCCAAACAUGCCCAGUAAAUGAUGACGUUUUAUAGAGGGGAAGGGCAGUUAAAAAGUGACAUGUUGAGCCCUUUUGUUGAGCCCUUGGAUGUUUGAAGGGGAGAAAACAGAUGCCAUUUUCAAUAAGGAAGAAAAGAAAAUUACCUUUCCCAAUUUUCUGUUUGCUUUGUCUUCAGUGUUGUGCAAGGAGGAACUUGGGCAACCUUUAAGGACUGGAACUCACUUAGUCCUAGGUCAGUCCCAGCCUGUUUAGUUUAGCUAGAAUGGAAGGCACAGGAGUUUCCUAGGAAAUGUUGGUUUUUGUUAAAUACCACCAGCUUUCAAAUAAAAUCAGUCGUACUCUGCUUCCUCAAAUCAUGUGCCGGAAGUGUUUCCUGUGAACUCCAGUGUUAUCUCAAAAAGAAGUGUUAUCUUGGAGUCAACAAGCUUGGACAGCAUUGCUUUAGGUCAGUUUCCCAACUGGGACCGUUUCCGUGUUUUCAGAAUUUCCAUUUCUGCUAAUCUCUUGGAGAAAAAGAAAUUUCAUUAGAAAUAGAAGUCAUCACUGUGUCUGUGUCUGGAAAUCUUGGAGGACUCACCUCGAAUCGGCUCCAACCCUCUCCUGUCUUCUUCCACUUACUUCUUGGUUUAUACUAUACUAGCCUGUACCUUUGCAUUUGUUACAGUGUUUUAUAUCCUUCAUGCCCUUAUGUAUUGGGCUUUUUAUAAAUAGGAAGCAUCUCUACUACUGUUUAUUUCUCUCCACUGUGCCCAGAACACACUAUGUAUUGCUGUUUCUAGCCAUCAAGGAAGUUGUAGAACUCCUGCCAGUAUCGCUUUUGUCCAUCACAGGCAAAUCUGCCCCAAACCCCCAGACUGUGGAAUCUUGGCAUCUUUCUCUGGGAGAUGGAGACCCUGCCCACCAUCAAGAGAAGAAGAAAGGAAGAACUUACAAGGACACUUAGAAGCUCUUUGUUGUGAUGUUAAAUGGAAAACAACAAGCUAACGUUUGGUCGUUCUUGGCUGGUUGUCAGCCUCUUUGCAUUAUAAGAGUAGUGACCCCAUUAUCAAAAAGUGCGGAAUCGAGAAGGUAAAAAAAUGUAGACUCAACACCCAGAGUCAGCCAGUGUUGUGGCUUUGUUCUCUUUGAAGACCAACUGGUAACCCAUCUUUUUUGUUGGCACUGGGGUUCCCUCUGCCUCUGACUAGAUAAAUAAGGAUUCCAUUAGUUCUGUCCCUGAGUAUUCUCUUUUUCCAACUCUAGAUAGAAGAAGGGAGGGAAGGAAACACAGUUUGAACACAUGUUGCUAAGGCUGGACUACCAGCUGCUCGUGUCAGGUGUGUGUCACUAGAUUUCUUUAGUGCUUCUUUCUUGAUGGUCUUUUGGCAACGUUUAAUAAUUUGCCUUUUAUAAAAACAGAUUUUUUUUUUCCUUUUGGUGUUAACUGUUGAAAAAUAGUGAUUGUGGAGAUUGUGCACAUGAGUACAUUUGUGUUGAUUAAAUUAUUGGAAAACUCUUAAUUUAUAGAUAACAUACGUUGUUUGUUCAGAUGAUUUGUAAAAGGUUUCCUUUUAAAUGUCUGUAUUGUAUUCAAAAUUAAAUUUCUUUUCUCCAGAAAAACAACAAGAAAAAUGUAAGACACAUGAGAAAUCCCAGGGCUUCCAGCGUCUAAGGUCUUAUCAACAGCUUGUCCAGAACUUAAGCACCACACAGAUGUCUUGAAAGAAACUGUGCUAUAGUUUUCUGAUCAGUGGGUUAAAAACCACUGCCCAUUGAAAAUGCAGUAUCUGUCAUUUGGCUGUUUUCAAGUGAUAACAGACAUUCUUUAGUAUCUAAAAAUAAAGAAAAAAACACAAAUACAAUAAGUAAGAAGCAAAUAAAUGUUCCUGGGACACUGCCCAAGUAAAUUUGAUCCGGACAAGUAUUUUUAUAGAGGUCAAAUUGAUAAAGAUACUUCUAAUAGAUUUAUAUUCUUAACAAAAACAUUGCAAUAAUUCUCUCUACUAAACCAGAAUUAAAAUGCAGCUUUCUAAUAGAAUUGACUCCUCCAUUACAAUUUUUUAUUAGCUCAUUAGUUCUUAAAUUGGACAUCUAUAUUUUUUAUUAGAUAAUUAGUUCUUAAAUUGGACAUCUAUAAAGGAUUUUUUUCAGUAAAUAAAAUGCAGUGUUUUUGGCUUCUUGUGAAUUUGAUAGAGAAUUGUAAAACAUAGGCUUUUUCUUUUGUUCUUACAGAAUAUGUCAGGGUGUAUACAGUAGCAUCUUUGACAAAUGGAACAAAUAUAGAAUAUGCUAGAAACUAUGGGUGGUUUGUGGGACAGGGGCUAUAGCAAGUUUAAGGAGUUGGUGGAAACAGAAGAUAACUGUAAAAAUAUAUCUAGGAGAAAAAUGCAAAGAUAGGGCAUGGUUAGAAAAUUUAUCUGUGUAAUAUAUUAGACCUUAUGGUUAUCUCAAUAGAUGUUCUUAGUUGCUCA